CCUACGGGAGGCAGCAGUAAGGAAUAUUGGACAAUGCUCGCAAGAGUGAUCCAGCCAUGCCGCGUGCAGGAAGAAUGCCCUAUGGGUAGUAAACUGCUUUUGAACUAGAGAAAACCCCUACUACGAGUAGUAGGCUGAUAGUAUAGUUAGAAUAAGCAUCGGCUAACUUCGUGCCAGCAGCCGCGGUAAGACGAAGGAUGCAAGCGUUAUCCGGAUUCAUUGGGUUUAAAGGGAGCGUAGGUGGACAUAUAAGUCAGUGGUGAAAUCUCCGAGCUUAACUCGGAAAUUGCCAUUGAUACUGUUUGUCUUGAUUACAGUUGCUGUGGGCGGAAUAUGACAUGUAGUGGUGAAAUACAUAGAGAUGUCAUAGAACACCGAUUGCGAAGGCAGCUCACAAAGCUGUAACUGACACUGAGGCUCGAAAGUGCGGGGAUCAAACAGGAUUAGAUACCCUGGUAGUCCGCACUAGUAACGAUAGUAUACUCGUCUGCGUAGAAGGACGUAACGUUUAAGUUAGGUCGUUAGUACGAACGACG
rnacentral:rRNA from 1 species